rnacentral:lncRNA from 1 species
AGCUUUCCUUUCUAGUGCCAGAGCAAACGGUUGAAGCAGUUGGAAAUUUCUGAAAAUAUUAAUGGUGGUAGUAGUAAAAGUUCACUCUGAUUGGUUCUUGUUCUAAUGAAUUCUGAGUAUAAAAGUAUAUUUUAAUCAUGGAGUAUUUUUAAAGUAGUUCAUAGUGUUGUGUUUUUAUUAUUAUUAUUUAAUACAAUGAUUCCUCUUCUCUAAAUUACUGAAUUAUUCAGGAAAAAAUAUCCAUUCAGUACUUCCUCCACUGACUCGAGCAAGUCAGGGCUGAAGUACCAUGUUUUAGAAUGGGACUCAAGCUAUUUAUUUAAAAGCCUUUGUACAUAGUCAGCUGGAAAACUAUGUCCAGCAAUGACAAGUAGACUGUUCUACGGUCAGAAUUCCUCACAACACCAAAGGAAGAAGUCCAAGUCAUCUGAGUGACCUCAGUCACCCCAAUUAACAGCAAAGCACUACUCAAAGUCCAUAGGCUCGACUGAGCUUCAACACUGUGUUCAAAGAAAUACUGAAGAGUCCAGAUGUCUCAAAUUUUCUAUGCAUUUAUAAAAAUAAAAUGACCUUUUUCUGACUUUUUACAGCAAAAAUAGAAAUUAAUCUGAAGUGUUUUGUGGGAUUUUGCUGUCCUUGACUCAAAGAGAUGCAUGGUUUCCCUUCAUGUCACAGAAAAGUAAAGCUGCUCAGGGAGGAGGCCGGUGGUCCAUGCAGUCCGUGCCGUCAGACGAUUGGCAUCUGAACCUGUUGGCUGGCUUUUCGUUUUGGCCACUUCCAUGGCUGAAGACGUGA